CAGAGGAAUUUCGAAUUGGACAAACGGGAGAGAUGGACAUGGGAACAAGUUAUGGCCGGAGAGGGCCCAUGGAGAAUGGCUGGUAAGGACCAGGAAUGUUUCCGAGGAUCACGACUGGCUUUGAAGCACGAGAGGCACCCCCAAUAAUUGUUUUUGGGGGGGGCACACGGGUAGUUUGGCUAAUCCAAGGAAGAGCCAGAAGCCAGCUACCCGUGGUUAUAUGGAGGAGCGUAUGAGGUGGAGAGCGCCAUGUUUCGCUGAAGAGCGCACUCUCACCCAUACGCACGCACAGUCCGGUGCGCGUUAUUCCAGCCCCUCGCAGGUGCCGUGCUAGAGCGGGCAUCCAGCCUGGUAGGAGGAUGCCUGCGCAGCGCAUCUGGUCGCCGGUACGCCUCCGAGGACCAGGCUACCCAACUCCCGCUCUACGCACGGCUACCAUCAGGCCCCUGCACAGCCCAGUCCGCCCUGUACAAGCACCCCGCUCGUACAGGGCUACUAGUUCCAUCCAGCCAGGACGGGUUGUGCAGGAGGUAAGAUCAAGACCGCCUGUGCGCCUCCAUAGCCCUGGGUUUCCAGCUCCUGUCUCUCGUGCGGACCCGGAAGUGCGUCAGCCCAGUCCGACUCGUCCUGUUCCCGCUCCCCGCACUAGCCUGGAGGUGUGUGUUCCCAGUCUGGUACGUCCAGUACCAGCACCACGCACCAGGCUUCAAGUGCGUCAUCCCAGUCCGACGUCGCUAGAACUGCCCAUCAGUCAAGAGUCGCCCGAACUGCCCGUCAGUCAAGAGUCGCCCGAACUGCCCGUCAGUCAAGAGUCGCCCGAACUGCCCGUCAGUCAAGAGUCGCCCGAACUGCCCGUCAGUCAAGAGUCGCCCGAACUGCCCGUCAGUCAAGAGUCGCCGGAGCCGCCCGUCAGUGAGGAAUCGCCAGAGCCGCCCGUCAGUGAAGAGUCGCCAGAGCCACCCACGAGUCAGGAGCUGCCAGAGUGGCCAGACUGCCCGGAGAUGCCAGAGUGGCCAGACUGCCCGGGGAGAUGCCAGAGUGGCCAGACUGCCCGGAGAUGCCAGAGUGGCCAGACUGCCCGGCGAUGCCAGACUGCCCGGCGAUGCCAGAGUGGCCUGACUGUCUUCCGGGUCUGCCAGAGUGG
rnacentral:lncRNA from 8 species